rnacentral:rRNA from 1 species
AUACGUAUGGGGCGAGCGUUGUUCGGAAUUAUUGGGCGUAAAGGGCGUCUAGGCGGGAAAUUAAGUUAGGUGUGAAAGCUAUGGGCUCAACCCAUAAACUGCAUCUAAAACUGAUUUUCUUGAGUUCGGGAGAGGAGAGCGGAAUUCCAGGUGUAGCGGUGAAAUGCGUAGAUAUCUGGAAGAACACCAGUGGCGAAGGCGGCUCUCUGGCCUAGAACUGACGCUGAAGCGCGAAAGCGUGGGGAGC